UACGUAGGGUGCAAGCGUUGUCCGGAAUUAUUGGGCGUAAAGAGCUCGUAGGCGGCUUGUUGCGUCGACCGUGAAAACCCGGGGCUCAACUUCGGGCUUGCGGUCGAUACGGGCGGGCUAGAGUUCGGUAGGGGAGACUGGAAUUCCUGGUGUAGCGGUGGAAUGCGCAGAUAUCAGGAGGAACACCGGUGGCGAAGGCGGGUCUCUGGGCAGUAACUGACGCUGAGGAGCGAAAGCGUGGGGAGCGAACAGG
rnacentral:rRNA from 1 species